UUAGAGAUCUUCUACCGGUUUCAGAAAAUAUAAUCAUCAAUGGUUUACAUCAAUUAACUUUGAUUUUUCUAUCUCAAACGUAUAGAAUCACUUGAGUUGCAGAUAGAUAGGAUCUUGACAUUUACAAUCUUGUCAAAGUAGAUCACUUCGAGAUUGCAGUUUUGCUAUUAAUGAUCUUCCGCAAUACCUAAUCACAAACAUUUAAGAUUGUCAAGUUAUUUGUCUUCCCAUAUUUCUAUACUCUUACAGGGUUAAUUGAGACUAACCUUUGUGUCGUUUUUAUGUGUUUCACCAAAGUGUGGUGAGCUUGUUUAGUCUUGGACAUUGAUUGUGUCUUUGGCAUCCAUAUAUAUCCACAGAGACAAAUCGUCAUUCCAUAUAUCCACAUUGAUCUGAGCAUUUUCUUCAUUCAAUUUGAAACAUGGGACUCCCAUGAUGGGAGAUAUGCAUGAUACCACUUACUUCGAUUCUUACAUCAAUUUGCAACCUAAUACAAAGCUUGAAUUUCAUCAAACACAAUCGUAACCGACCAGAUCAACAAAGAUGGAACAACUCGUGCUCAAGAACAUAGAAUAACAGAAAAUGCCGUAGAUGGUUAGAUAAAACCACUAGUCAGUUAAGGAUAAGGAUAGAUCCUAGUGUAGGCCACAUCAAUAUCUUUGAAGGACAAGAACAUAGAAUAAUAGAGAAGAGAAGAUGAACUCACUAAGUUACGAGUUAAUUAAGAUCAAUCGGUGUGAUUGAUCCUGUACGUCUUGGCCAUAACGGAAAUCAUCUUAGCUUUACAAGUUCAUCAAAGAACUCCAUAACCCCUGAGGUUCAUGUAUGGCGGCUAAAAAAUCUACCGUAC
rnacentral:lncRNA from 1 species